CCCUACGGGAGGCAGCAGUGGGGAAUAUUGCCCAAUGGGGGAAACCCUGAUGCAGCAACGCCGCGUGAGUGAAGAAGUAUUUCGGUAUGUAAAGCUCUAUCAGUAGGGAAGAAGAAAGACGGUACCUGACUAAGAAGCCCCGGCUAACUACGUGCCAGCAGCCGCGGUAAUACGUAGGGGGCAAGCGUUAUCCGGAUUUACUGGGUGUAAAGGGAGCGUAGACGGCAUAGCAAGUCUGAAGUGAAAGCCCGUGGCUCAACCGCGGAACUGCUUUGGAACCUGUUAAGCUGGAGUACUGGAGAGGC
rnacentral:rRNA from 1 species